rnacentral:rRNA from 1 species
UCCUGCAUCCUUAAUAGCCCCUCAGGUUUAAGCUUGCCCCUUCCAUGUGAUCUCAGAAGCUAAGCAGAGUUAGUACCUGGAUAGGAGACCAAAAGGAAAUCCCAGAGCUGCAGGCU